AAUUGAAGCGACUCAAAGAAUGUAAAAUUUAAGUUCUUCACAGAAGCGAGGCAUGUGAAUGCAAAAUUACCAGACAUAUAAAGUUCUUUAGAACAGAAAAGGCAGGUGCUCUUUGCUUUUGAAUGAUUAAUCUAAAUCCAAAACUAUUUUUUUUCAGGCUAAGCAUGAAUUUCCUUCAUUUUUCGGUCCUGAGCCAAGUCUUUACUCUUUGAAGAUGUCAUUAAAACCACCUCAAAGUCUCUCUGCCUCACACUGUUAUUUUCAGGAAUUGCUUAAAGGUGCAAAAGAUGGUCCAGAAUGUUGAUUUCAUGCUAACUUUAAUGGUUAUUACUGAACUCCACUGCUGUGAAAUCAGGUAAGUGCUCUUUAAGUGCAGGGUUGGUUUGUUUGUUUGUUUUAAUAAGAGCACUUACCUUUACUGAAUAGCAAGUGUUUAUGAAUGCUAUUGCC
rnacentral:lncRNA from 1 species